CUGGCGGCGUGCUUAACACAUGCAAGUUGAACGGUAUGACAUGGAAGCUUGCUGAAGUGUCAUAUAGUAGCGGACGGGUGAGUAAUGCAUGAGAAGCUGCCAUUGGGAGGGGGACAACAGUUGGAAACGGCUGCUAAUACCCCGUAUGCCGGAAGGUGAAAGGGAGCGAUCCGCCCGAUGAGGUGCUCAUGUCCUAUCAGCUGGUUGGUGGGGUAACGGCCUACCAAGGCGACGACGGGUAGCCGGCCUGAGAGGGUGAACGGCCACACUGGAACUGAGAUACGGUCCAGACUCCUACGGGAGGCAGCAGUGGGGAAUAUUGGGCAAAUGGGGGCAACCCUGACCCAGCGACGCCGCGUGAGGGAAGACGGCCUUCGGGUUGUAAACCUCUUUUGUACGGGAAGAAGGAAGUGACGGUACUGUACGAAUAAGUCCCGGCUAACUACGUGCCAGCCGCCGC
rnacentral:rRNA from 1 species